UACGUAGGGGGCAAGCGUUGUCCGGAUUUAUUGGGCGUAAAGAGCGUGUAGGCGGCCAGGUAGGUCUGCUGUGAAAACUCGAGGCUCAACCUCGAGACGUCGGCGGAAACCAUCUGGCUAGAGUCCGGAAGAGGAGAGUGGAAUUCCUGGUGUAGCGGUGAAAUGCGCAGAUAUCGGAAGGAACACCGGUGGCGAAGGCGGCACGCUGGGCCCGCCCUGACGCUGAGGCGCGAAAGCCAGGGGAGCGAACGGG
rnacentral:rRNA from 1 species